rnacentral:rRNA from 1 species
AGCAGUAGCCGCGGUAAAACGGAGGAUCCAAGCGUUAUCCGGAAUCAUUGGGUUUAAAGGGUCCGUAGGCGGUCUUGUAAGUCAGUGGUGAAAGCCCAUCGCUCAACGGUGGAACGGCCAUUGAUACUGCAGGACUUGAAUUAUUGGGAAGUAACUAGAAUAUGUAGUGUAGCGGUGAAAUGCUUAGAGAUUACAUGGAAUACCAAUUGCGAAGGCAGGUUACUACCAAUUGAUUGACGCUGAUGGACGAAAGCGUGGGUAGCGAACAGGAUUAGAUACCCCGGUAGUCCCUGUCUCUUAUAC